CGACUGCGUGAAGUCGGAAUCGCUAGUAAUCGCGGAUCAGCAUGCCGCGGUGAAUACGUUCCCGGGCCUUGUACACACCGCCCGUCACACCAUGAGAGCCGGGAACACCCGAAGCCCGUAGCCUAACUUUAACGAGGGGGCGCGGUCGAAGGUGGGUUUGGUAAUUGGGGUGAAGUCGUAACAAGGUACC
rnacentral:rRNA from 1 species